CAGAGAAUAGUUUAAAAAAAAUAUUAGUUUUGGGGAUUAAAGAUAAAAGGAUAAGUUUUUCUCUGA
rnacentral:tRNA from 1 species